UUGAGUAAGGGCUAGCUCUUCUUAAUUCAACAAAUAUACACUGCCCUGUGACAGGGACAGCCUGUUCAACUGGCGGGUUUCAUCAUAACAUGUGAGACAGCCACAACAACAAGAUAUACAAUCAGCUGCUCUGUAAACAUCAUUCUGGGAUCUGAGACAGGACUAUCAACAAGCUACCGAGUAUUUUAUACAACCCUGGAUGAGGUUAGCACUGGAGAUAAAGCCAUCGAUGCUCUGUGCUUCUGAAUAAGUAAAGGUAGAAUUGAAUGCUUUCUCAGUCCAGAGGCACUAAGACCUAACUUGAACCUACCUUCAACUAGUGUGGAAAUUGAGAAAAAAAAAGUUAUAUUUAUCAAAACAAUCAUGGAAUAUUGCCUUAUGUUGCAUGCAAGGCCACUACAAGUGCAAUAUUUCACAGCACACAAUUGUGUAUGCAAGAUGGAAUCAUGAAGCAUAAUAUGUAAGAGUUGCUGUCACUUAUCUACUGAAACACUGGUUAUUUCUGCUUAAAAAGGGAUUCUAAAUUACAACAAAGAAAUUAUUCAUGCAUAUGACUGAAAGAAUACUUAUCACUCGUUGAGGAAAAUGCACAUUUGCUGUUGGAAAUGUAAAAGAAUGCAUGAACGUAUUUAACCUGUAGCAUUCCCACAGAAAACUGCAUUGAUUUCUGAGGAUGGUGUGACUUCUCUCACCAGUUCCCAGCACAAGCAAGUUCUGCAUGAGUACUUAUUUCCAGACUAAAAAAUACCAGAACGAGACUGACAGGUUUGUCCUAGUAUACGACUAUGACAUCAAAUGAAAAUCCCUCCAAUUGCAUAGAAGCUUUUAACCAAUAUUACAUGUAUAAUUAUUAACCUUGACAAAAAACACAUUUACUGUGGCUAAAAAAAGUGAAAUGUACAGGUAUACAUUUUGGAGAGAAGAAUUUGAAAGG